UAUUUAUUGAGGAUAUCAAACAGUUACGGUUCAUGCUGUAGAUAUUUGUUGAUUCCUAUUAGACGUGAGAAUGGUAUUAUGGUCCCAACAUGACUAGUCAAUGAUCCGGUAUGCCAAGUGUGUUUUAUAUUGUCACGUUAUUUCAUGCACCUGGACCUGAUCUCAUUAGAUAUUGUUAAUCCUUUCUCAAAUAUCUCAAUACUUUUUUUAUUGUAUAUUCCCAAAAUAAUUUCUAUCAGCAAGGCCUAAUAAGGUCCCAGUUUUUGUUUUAAUUUUAUUUUCAAAUUUUUAUUUUUGUUUCUUAUGUUCCAAACUCCCAAGUGUAUUUUAAGAUAUCAUAGAUGUAACUGACUGAUUGAUUGUUUUAUUGUUAUAUUUUAGGUAUAGAUUAAUUGCAGAGAGACAUUUUUAGAUAUUUGAUACUUGAGAUUCUGACUUUUCAAAAUAGAUCACUCAAAAGAUGUAAACAUUGGUUAAAGAACAUCCAAUUUUUUAAAAUGAUACUAUGGUUUAUCUGUUAUAUCAUGAGAGAUUUACUAUAGUGAUCCAACAAAAAAUAGAUGGUCCCUAACUUUUCAGUAGUAUUUAUAAAUGUAUAAGAUCUAUUUUUACACUGUAUUUAGUUGAAAAUACCAUUUACAAUUUUUUAAAAUAUAUAACCCUCUCUCCCCUUAAUUGUUGCAAGAGCUGUUACCGGUAAAUACAGAGAUUAGGGUUUCAUUGCUCAUAUUUCAGUCACAGGUUUGUCUGGUUCAAACUUGAUUUACUCUGAUUUAGCCGGUGCUAAACAACAUACACUCGCUUGCUCCAUAACUUUGAGUUAACAGCUUUCACUGUGUGUCAUGGUUCACUAUUUGCAGUUACUGUGUUGUCAGCCAAUCAGAAACAUGCACUAUGUGACUGUGGCGACACAUAUGAUACACGUUGUACCAUAUACCCUUUACUGCUGUGAUAUGCAAGUGCAAUUGAUUUGACCAACCCUGCUUCCUGCCUUUCCACUGCUAGCAAGUAUAUUAUCCAAUCAGUUGUGUUCUACAUGUGUUUGAAGCUAACUGGCUUGCCAAAGGUAUGCAAGAAACAGCCUCGAUUAUCCAGCGUAUAAUGUCUACUUCCUGUUAUGAUAAAUACCCCUAACCCGAUCAAAUGUCUACUUCCUGUUAUGAUAAAUACCCCCGACCCGAUCAUAUGAUAGCUUUGUUGAGGAAGUGACAUCACUAUUUGAUCUCAUGAUAUACGUAUUUCACACAUGGACCGUUUAAUAAGUAACUUAUCUGUUUCUCACACUCAUGUGAAUAAUUUGAUUGGAUGGCUAUUUUUAGCUAUGCAUAUUUUAAAUGGGCUACGGUAGUGGACAGGUCAAGAGUAUUUAUCUCAAUAGUGUGGAGAUAUUUUUGUGCUGGAUUAUCACUGAUACGAGUGAAGACGUCACCUGGGUUUAUCAUUAUGUUAUUGUGGACAAUAUGUAUGUUGUGAGUCUCUUUCAAAGAGAUGUAAAGUGUGUUUCGUGAUGGCUUCAUGAAUAUAGUAAUAAUGUUUGUUGAUCAUUUUGUGUUUCUCAAACAUUUGAGGGAGGAAAGACUGAAUAUAAUUUCAAGUUUCACCAAGGCAGGUAAUUUUGAUUAUUGGUUUAUGUCAGAAGAAAACGGAAUGCCCCAGAAUGGUGGUUGAGCAAGAGAUCUGUUGAAAGGAUCAUGUGGAUCAGACAAAGAUGUUUCAAGAGUUAUGUUGACUGACCAACAGAUCUGUUAUAAGUUUUACCCUAUUUGCCUUAUUAGGUGCCCUCACCCAAAUACACCCUCUAACCUUUCCACCUGUCUUCAAGUAGUCUUUAUAAACAUCUGUUUACUACCUGGCCAUUGUUGUUUGGGAUGUUUGUGUCUUCAACAUGGAAUAUUUCAUAAAUAGAUUAUACGUGAGAUUUAUGGUAAAUUACAUUUAUUUAAAAAGGGCUUGGUAAUGUUUAUUUGUGAAGCCAACAACUACAGUUAUGUUUUCUGUUUUGGUUAUGUAAAUUGUUUCAGAUAUGUCAAUAUUUUGUUCACUUCACCAAUGCAUAAUAAUUCUCGCAUAAAGGUAAGAUUUAUGUCAGUCCAUGAGUCUCUGAAUACUAAAAACCAUAUGUGUUUAAAUUCCCAAAUGGGAUUACUUGAUAGAACUGGCCCCCUAGGCUAUAAUAAUGUGAGGAGCAAAUCAUCGAGCCGGACAGUUUUGAUCAGUGCUCAUGAGGUCAGUCACAGGAAUGGCUGGUCCAGAUUAUUUAGUCUAGUGUUAUAUAGCUGUAAUAUUGCCGUGUAUGGCUUUAAACAACAAACAUCUCCCCUAUUAACAAGUAACAAACCACUAGUACAGUGUAUGUGGAAAGUGAAAACAUUGUGGUCCAUCCUAGAGAUGGUCAUCAUGGGGACUCCAUUCUAUGGUUUCCACCAAUCACCAACUGAAAUGUGACCUUGUUGAGGGCUGGGGGACCAGUAAUACUGACUGAUUCACUAAGGGUUAAUACAUAAUCAGGGUUCUUGGGCCACAAUGUGUUGUCCAGACUUACAGGUGCUGAUUGUCACGAUAUGGCUGAAAUACUGCCGAUGUUACUAAAAUCUUAACUCACUCACUACAAGUGCUGCUGUUUAUGUAGACGUUCUAAACAUAAUCAAGAAAGAUUGUCUCAGGGACCAACCAUUUCAAAUUCUGAUAGACACAGGUGGAAUCUAAAGGAUAUUUAAUAUCUGAAUAUAUGUUACACAAACUACUUCAAAAUGAUAAUUCGACCAUUUUACAAUGUGGAUGUCCUGGAGAAGCAUUAGUUGAUGACACAAGACUGUUUCAGAUGCAAAUUAUGUAGAAUGUCUGAAACCAGUGACAGAAAACCAUUAAUGACAACAAUCCAAACUACAUGUGUAGUUAAAUUGUCAGUCAUUAGUACCAUCAGUGUAUUUUGUUUUCUAAACCAAAGUUCAGGGUGAUGGAGAGUGUUACAUUCAGAGUUGAAUGGAUAUUUUCAAGCAGUGCCGGUCUAAGAUGGAGGCUACAAGAUUUAUGAUUUUUUAAAUGCCAGGAAGUCCCGAGUUGUAUUGGUUAUGAACCUGUUUUUUUUUGUACAGUUUCUUUUAUGUAUUUGAUUUUAUGCCUGUGUUUUGACUUUGUGUUGUGAUGUUUUUAGGCUUUUAGUUUUGUUAGAGUAUUUUUGAUAUGAACAAAACCAACUGUUGAGCUAUUUUUGGGAGUAGUUGUGUUUCUAUAAUAUUUUAAUGUUAGUUCUUGAGGCAGCUGAUUUUUAUAUUAAUGCGAAAUUAAUCAGAAUACAGAACUGUAGUAAUUACUUCAUUAAUUACAUUUGCCCUUAAUUGAAGAAUGCCUGUUUGGAUUAAGACUGGUAUCAAGUUUAAUCAUAAGUUGCCAUAGUAACAAUUUAUUUUUGACCAUGUUUCACAUAUACAGAUCAAACCCUGACCUGAGUAUAAGACACUUUGUUUACACGACUUCUGUGAGAUCUCUGUGUGCUUUAUGUCCCAUACAACAUAAAAUCAAUCAGGUACUUUAGACGAAACUAUAAAAUGCAUUCACUACCGGUUUCCUAGACGCUAAAAGUGUGAAUAGUAUAAAAGAAUCAAACUCUGAAAGCACAACUGUUUGCUACUGCCAGGUGCGGUCGUCACCAUGUGCUUGAACACCACACACAACAGGUGAAACUACAAGGACAAGACAAGCUUAACAAACACUGCUUUCUUGGCAACAUAUUCAGAUAAGUUUUCGCAAAGAAGAAAAACAUGAUCAUAAAUGUCUGGUAUUUUGUUGACGUGAGUCAAGGAUGAAAGAUGUCUUAAGGAAGGGGCAAAUAAGAAUAAAAUUUUUUAUGACAUUCAAAAAAUUACUUUGGAGGUAUAUUUUCCCUCAUAUUUUGUUUAAAGGUGUAUGUGAAGGGAUGGAUUGAACAAUCAGUUCAUUACACAUAUUGGUACUCAAGUUCGACUUGUCAAAGAUCAUCAACAUUGUUGGGUCUUUUAGACUAAUGCUUAGUCUCUGAAUAUAUAUGUAUAAUUUUGAUUGUAACAAACAAACCCAUUUAAAUU
rnacentral:lncRNA from 1 species